rnacentral:lncRNA from 1 species
CAUUUCUGCACUUGGAGCAGCCAGAAGAAAUUUGACUCUAUCCCAGAAAUAACUGAGAACCAUGAUAGUUACAUAGCACCAAACCCAAACUAUAUGUAUCCCCAACUUAAUUUACUCUCAGCUAGAUCUCCAAAGUGACCUUCUCCACUCCUAUACUUUUGAGUGGUAGGGUAAGUAUGACCAAGAAUAAAUUACAGUAGAAAGAGGCAGUGGUCUUGCCAAUCAAAAUUAAAUAUAUUACUUUUACAACUUGUACAAAUCAUAUGAAUAAACUAGUCCUUUGAAAGACCUCUGUGCAAGUGAGGGGCAGUGAAUCUUGUAUCUCAUUAGCCUUACAGUAAAUUUGCUUUUGCAUCUCCCAUUUGCUGUAGGGACAUGGCAGUUGUUUUAAGGGCACCAUGGUUUGAAUGCCCAGACUUGCAGAUUUACCCUGUUCUUCAAUUUCGCACAGUGAUUUACAAAGCACAGUGUAUAUAAGCAUCAUUGUUCAGGGUUAUGUCUAUGAAAUACAUACUUUUUAAGUAAUUUAAGAGAUGUUUUAAGCAAAUCAGAAGAUAACUCCCACCCCAUGUAAGAGGAAACUCCACAUACACUCCCUUCUACAAUCAAAUCCUUCUGCAAAUUAGCAAUGGAAUGUGUCCUCUAAAGGAAUGAUAUUGGAGCCAUGUAUAUUAGUCUGUUCACAUGCUGCUAAUAAAGACAUACUUGAGACUGGGUAAUUUAUAAAGGAAAAAGGUUUAAUUGACCCACAGUUCUGCAGGGCUGGGGAGGCCUCAGGAAAUUUACAAUUAUGGCAGAAGGGGAAGCAAACAUGUCCUUCUUCACAUGGUGGCAGCAAGGAGAAGUGCCAAGCAAAGCAAGGAAAGGCCCCUUACGAAACCCUCAGAUCUCAUGAGAACUCCCUCAUUACCAUAAGAACAGCAGCGUGGGGGUAACUGCCCCAUGAUUCAAUUACCUCCCACCAGGUCCCUCCCACGACACAUGGAGAUUAUGAGAACCACAGUUCAAGAUGAGAUUUGGGUGAGGACACAGCCAAACCAUAUCACCAUAUAACUUUAAAUAGGGUUAAAAAAGAAAUAGUCUUCACUUGUUGAUAUUAGAAGGUGGGUAGCCUUUGCCCAUCUUUGUUUUUGUUUUUCAAGUGUUGAAGCCACAUCAGACACAGAGCAAUUUGCACAUAAUCUUGUUUCCCAGCUCAAGUUCACCAGAAUGCUCAUGGGACCUGUAAUUACAGUGACUCAUCCCUAAAAAAGUUAUUGUGAGUAGUCACUGUUCCUACGAUAAUGCAAUGGUUUUGCUUAUAAAAUUUCCCUGAAGUUAAAC